UACGUAGGGUGCAAGCGUUAAUAGGAAUUACUGGGCGUAAAGCGUGCGCAGGCGGUUUUGUAAGUCUGUCGUGAAAUCCCCGGGCUCAACCUGGGAAUUGCGUUGGAGACUGCAAGGCUAGAAUCUGGCAGAGGGGGGUAGAAUUCCACGUGUAGCAGUGAAAGGCGUAGAGAUGUGGAGGAACACCGAUGGCGAAGGCAGCCCCCUGGGUCAAGAUUGACGCUCAUGCACGAAAUCGUGGGGAG
rnacentral:rRNA from 1 species